AUUAUUCGUCCUGCCUGGACCGAGAUGGAAACCAGCAGCACAGUUUUUGGAAGAACAGCCUUUGCCCAUUUUCACUGGCAAGGCCCAUGCACAAAAGGGAUGAUUGACAAGGCAGGCGUGGGAAACGUAUUUCUGCAAAGAUGAGUUUCUGCCAAUCAGAGGCCGGAGCAGAUUCCCCCCCACACACACACACCUCAGUCCGGACUGAACUUCAACCCCGUUGAAUCACAACUGACAAGCGCCUGGAUGCAAACUCUAUCAGAAGGAAGAGGCUGCCAUGACUAGAAUGUUCUCUUCGGAAAAAUAAAACGGCAGCUCUCACUGGCAACGAAAACAAGGAAGACAGAAAAGGACUUAAGAUUCCUUGUUAAAAGAAUAUGCAUGCAAACUACAAAGAAUUGGGUUUAGUGAUGUAAUACUAAGAAAAGGAGAUUCCCUGAUCCUAACAGAGAGACAGAGAAGCAAUGUAAGUAAUAAUAGCUACCCUGGUUCUUGGUCUUUCAAAAUUUUGGCCUUCUUUACAUUCCUGGCAGGUAAUAACACAUUGAUUCUCCUCCCUUUCAGUACACAGAAACCUGAUCAUGCCACCUCCCCGAAUCACCUUUAUUCUUCAGUUAGUUGGAAAGCUACUGCUUGA
rnacentral:lncRNA from 1 species